CUUUUAAACUUGGUCUCCCCGGCGCCCUCCCCUUUCGGCCGCGGCGCGCGACUCGGUUCAGUGCAGUUACAAGAUGCUGAUGAAAUUAAGGGCUGGUGCUUGAGAGGCAGAAUUGUGGUGCUCGAAAGAAGCUUUUCAAGUAAAGUAUUUGAACAUGUGGCGAUUGGUAUAUACAGAAUAGAGGGGUUUUUUUGUUCCUUUCAUGGCUGUAGCGGAGGUGAAUGUUGAGAAGGGACGUGGCAAGUGUCUGUAGGAAUAUACAUCUGCCCCAUAGAGAAUUUCCAGAGAAUUCAAUUCCAUUAUUUAAAGUAGUUUUUCUAUCAACCAACCCGAGCGUGGAGUGUGACACAAUAACCAGACUAGCUCUUCUACAACUAUCUUAAGACAACUUUGUCAACUGUGAAUUAAUUUACAAAGGUUAUUUUGAAAUCCUAUUCUUUUGACUAUUCUAAAGAUUAUAUGUUCUUUCGUGGUGUACAUACUUAAAUAUUACUGUUGAGGCAUAUAUAAGGCAAUGUUGGCUUAAUUCUGCUUGAGAUCUCAGCACUGGGCAGAAUAUCCUGCAUAUGUGUAGUAAAACGUGAAGCUGCCUUCAUUUUGUUGGUAUACUAAAGAAAACUUUUUCAACGUGUUUUUUUGAAAACUUAGCUCUAUAUGCUUAUAAAUUUUUCCAUAGUAGAUCAUUUAAGUCAUUAAAUCUGACACUUUGACAGAAAACAAAUCAGUGGGUUCCUAGGGAUCAGGGAGGGAUUGGUUGCAAAGGGGCAUAAGGGAG